rnacentral:lncRNA from 1 species
GGAAGAGGGAGGCAGAAGAAGAGAAUCAGAGGGAGUUGUGAUCACAGAGGAGUUUUUGGGGAGAUGAAAUGUUGUGAAGGUGGAGGAAGGGGACUACCAUCCAAGGAAUGCAGUUGGCUGCUAGAAGCUGGAAAAGUCAAGAAAAGAAAUCUCCUUGAGCCUCCAGAAAGAAAAGCAGUCCUGUGGACACUUUGAUUUUAGGCUGGUGGACUUCUGACCUCCAGAAUGCAACGUCAUGACCACACUUAAUACAGGGAGACUGGGAAUGUCGUCUAGCUGUGUAUCCAGGAAAAAGAGAGAAACUCUGAUCUUGUGGCGUGAGGAGUACAAAUUGACCUUCGGCCAGUUUCCAGAAACUAUUGCUGCUGUUCUUGCAUACCAGAGGAAAUUCAUGUCGUAAAC